GAUGAACGCUGGCGGCGUGCCUAAUACAUGCAAGUCGAGCGAACGGACGAGAAGCUUGCUUUUCUGAUGUUAGCGGCGGACGGGUGAGUAACACGUGGAUAACCUACCUAUAAGACUGGGAUAACUUCGGGAAACCGGAGCUAAUACCGGAUAAUAUUUUGAACCGCAAGGUUCAUAAGUGAAAGACGGUCUUGCUGUCACUUAUAGAUGGAUCCGCGCUGCAUUAGCUAGUUGGUAAGGUAACGGCUUACCAAGGCAACGAUGCAUAGCCGACCUGAGAGGGUGGUCGGCCACACUGGAACUGAGACACGGUCCAGACUCCUACGGGAGGCAGCAGUAGGGAAUCUUCCGCAAGGGGCGAGAGCCUGACGGAGCAACGCCGCGUGAGUGAUGAAGGUCUUCGGAUCGUAAAACUCUGUUAUUAGGGAAGAACAUAUGUGUAAGUAACUGUGCACAUCUUGACGGUACCUAAUCAGAAAGCCACGGCUAACUACGUG
rnacentral:rRNA from 1 species